UUUUUGUGUGUAUUCAUAUUUAAUAAUCAAUUAUUAAAAGUAUUUUUAUUUACAAUUUCUAGAGUAAUAGAUAUAAAUGGGUGAUUUGUUCCACAAAUCUCAGAACAUUGUCCAUAAUAUAAUCCAGGACGAUUAGAAUCUAGGUUUAAUUGAUUAAGUCGUCCUGUAUUAUAUUGAUGCCAUUUAUUAUGAUUCCAAAAGAAGGAAA